AUUGAACGCUGGCGGCAUGCCUUACACAUGCAAGUCGAACGGCAGCAUGAUCUAGCUUGCUAGAUUGAUGGCGAGUGGCGAACGGGUGAGUAAUACAUCGGAACGUGCCCUGUAGUGGGGGAUAACUAGUCGAAAGAUUAGCUAAUACCGCAUACGACCUGAGGGUGAAGGUGGGGGACCGCAAGGCCUCAUGCUAUAGGAGCGGCCGAUGUCUGAUUAGCUAGUUGGUGAGGUAAAGGCUCACCAAGGCGACGAUCAGUAGCUGGUCUGAGAGGACGAUCAGCCACACUGGGACUGAGACACGGCCCAGACUCCUACGGGAGGCAGCAGUGGGGAAUUUCGGACAAUGGGCGAAAGCCUGAUCCAGCAAUGCCGCGUGUGUGAAGAAGGCCUUCGGGUUGUAAAGCACUUUUGUCCGGAAAGAAAUGGCUCUGGUUAAUACCUGGGGUCGAUGACGGUACCGGAAGAAUAAGGACCGGCUAACUACGUG
rnacentral:rRNA from 1 species